CGGCGCGAUCUGCUGAAUAGCAAACAUGCUACAGGGUUAGUUUGCUGUCAAGUGCUAGUUAGCGGUUUCUCCUCCCCUGAAGCGUGAUCGCCGGGCUGGACUCUGCGCUGGAUCUCGCCACUGACGAAGAGGUGGCGUUCGACUCUAGCCACCCCGGAGAGGAGACCAGGGACUUCCUACAGCGACUCCCCACUGAAGGUAGGAGAGAGCAGAUGCCCUCCGCAUCCUGUGGAAAGCAGCAAGCCCUCCUCUGAAAGGCUUUCCACGCUGGGACGCUUCAGCAGCCCCUACGUUGGAGAGCCAAGCUGUGGGGGCAGGAUUUGAAGGACGCAGCUCCCCCGUUGCUGUCGCUCCAGCCAGACCCAGCAUCUUGGAACUCGGAUCGAAGGAGUCCCCAGAGAACGGAAUUGGGAGCAGAAGUUGGGGACCAGAAUCUCCCGCUCUUCCAAACAAGAGCAGCACCAAGAGUUGCUCCAGGCAGAAAGGUGAGUGGCCUCCACCCGUCCCCCUGUGAGCUUGACAAUCGUGAGCUCCAGGUUAACCAGGGGAUCGGAGCGUUUCCUCCCCUUCCACAAAGGUUUGUUUUUCCCCAGGCCCACGGCACAUUCUUAGGUUGCACAUUAACUU
rnacentral:lncRNA from 1 species